AUUAGUGGCGAACGGGUGAGUAACACGUGAGUAACCUGCCUUACACAAGGGGAUAGCCUCUGGAAACGGAGAAUAAUACCCUAUAAAGUCUAAUCAGCCCAAUGCUGGAAAGACCAAAGAUUAUCGGUGUAAGAUGGACUUGCGUCUGAUUAGCUAGUUGGUGAGAUAAAAGCUCACCAAGGCGACGAUCAGUAGCCGGCUUGAGAGAGUGUACGGCCACAUUGGGACUGAGACACGGCCCAAACUCCUACGGGAGGCAGCAGUGGGGAAUUUUGCACAAUGGGGGAAACCCUGAUGCAGCGACGCCGCGUGAUUUAGAAGGCCUUCGGGUUGUAAAAAUCUUUUUUACGGGAUGAAAAUGACAGUACCGUAAGAAUAAGGUCCGGCUAAAUACGUGCCAGCAGCCGCGGUAAUACGUAUGGACCGAGCGUUGUCCGGAAUCAUUGGGCGUAAAGGGUACGUAGGCGGCCUAGUAAGUUAGAAGUUAAAGAAUAUAGCUCAACUAUAUAAAGCUUUUAAAACUGCUAGGCUUGAGAGAUGGAAGGGAAAGUGGAAUUCCUAGUGUAGCGGUGAAAUGCGCAGAUAUUAGGAAGAAUACCGGUGGCGAAGGCGACUUUCUGGUCAUCAUCUGACGCUGAGGUACGAAAGCGUGGGUAGCAAACAGGAUUAGAUACCCUGGUAGUCCACGCUGUAAACGAUGAGUGUUAGGUUCUUGGAUAAUCUGGGAGCCGCUAGCUAACGCAUUA
rnacentral:rRNA from 1 species